rnacentral:rRNA from 1 species
GAUGAACGCUGGCGGCGUGCCUAACACAUGCAAGUCGAGCGAGAAAUCUUUAAACAAAUCUUCGGAAGAGUGAUGAGAUGGAAAGCGGCGGACGGGUGAGUAACGCGUAGGCAACCUGCCCCAUACAGAGGGAUAGCCUCGGGAAACCGGGAUGAAAACCUCAUAACACGGAAGAUUCACAUGUUUCUUCCGUCAAAGAUUUAUCGGUAUGGGAUGGGCCUGCGUCUGAUUAGCUAGUUGGUAAGGUAACGGCUUACCAAGGCAACGAUCAGUAGCCGACCUGAGAGGGUAAUCGGCCACAUUGGAACUGAGACACGGUCCAAACUCCUACGGGAGGCAGCAGUGGGGAAUAAUGCACAAUGGGCGAAAGCCUGAUGCAGCAACGCCGCGUGAGCGAUGAAGGCCUUUGGGUCGUAAAGCUCUGUCCUUGGGGAAGAAAAAAAUGACGGUACCCUUGGAGGAAGCCCCGGCUAACUACGUGCCAGCAGCCGCAGUAA